rnacentral:rRNA from 1 species
AUACGUAGGGGGCGAGCGUUGUCCGGAAUGAUUGGGCGUAAAGGGCGCGUAGGCGGCGCGGUAAGUCUGGAGUGAAAGUCCUGUUUUCAAGAUGGGAAUUGCUUUGGAUACUGAUGGGCUUGAGUGCAGGAGAGGUUAUCGGAAUUCCCGGUGUAGCGGUGAAAUGCGUAGAGAUCGGGAGGAACACCAGUGGCGAAGGCGGGUAACUGGACUGCAACUGACGCUGAGGCGCGAAAGUGUGGGGAGCAAACAGGAUUAGAUACCCUGGUAGUCCACACUGUAAACGAUGAAUGCUAGGUGUAAGAGGUAUCGACCCCUUUUGUGCCGGAGUUAACACAAUAAGCAUUCCGCCUGGGGAGUACGGCCGCAAGGUUGAAACUCAAAUGAAUUGACGGGG